UACGGAGGGUGCGAGCGUUGUCCGGAAUCACUGGGCGUAAAGGGCGCGUAGGCGGCUGUGUAAGUCACUUGUGAAAUCCCGGGGCUCAACUCCGGGGCUGCAGGUGAGACUGCAUGGCUAGAGCUUGGUAGAGGCGAGUGGAAUUCCCGGUGUAGCGGUGGAAUGCGUAGAUAUCGGGAAGAACACCGGUGGCGAAGGCGGCUCGCUGGGCCAAUGCUGACGCUGAGGCGCGAAAGCGUGGGGAG
rnacentral:rRNA from 1 species